rfam:Stegodyphus mimosarum contig34714, whole genome shotgun sequence.
GCCUUCUUGGUGUAGUGGUGAGCACGCUCGGCACGUAUUCGAGAGGUCCGUGGUUCGAGUCUCGGCGAGGGCA